GGAGGGUGCAAGCGUUGUUCGGAAUUAUUGGGCGUAAAGAGCGUGUAGGCGGUCCGGUAAGUCAGAUGUGAAAGCCCUGGGCUCAACCCAGGAAGUGCAUUUGAAACUACCAGACUUGAGUACGGGAGAGGAGGGGGGAAUUCCCGGUGUAGAGGUGAAAUUCGUAGAUAUCGGGAGGAAUACCAGUGGCGAAGGCGCCCUCUGGACCGAUACUGACGCUGAGACGCGAAAGCGUGGGGAGCAAACAGGAUUAGAUACCCUGGUAGUCCACGCCGUAAACGAUGAGCACUAGGUGUAGCGGGUAUUGACCCCCCCCGCUGUGCCGUAGCUAACGCAUUAAGUGCUCCGCCUGGGGGACUACGGUCGCAAGACUA
rnacentral:rRNA from 1 species